UUAUACAAGCGUGAGGUAAGGGCAAUUCGUGGAUGCCUUGGCGCAUACAGGCGAUGAAGGACGUGGCACGCUGCGAUAAGCUUGGGUGAGGUGUGAGCAACCGUUGACCCCGAGAUUUCCGAAUGGGGAAACCCACCUAUCCGUUUAAUCAGCUGAGCCGCUCGGCGGCACGCUUCAUGCGUGUCGUCGAUAGGCGCAUCUGGUUAGGCGGAGACAGGUAUCUCUUAACUGAAUACAUAGGUUUCGAGAAGCGAACCCGGUGAACUGAAACAUCUCAGUAGCUGGAGGAAAAGACAUCAACCGAGAUUCCGUUAGUAGUGGCGAGCGAACGCGGACCAGGCCAGUGCCUGAUGUUCAACUAGCAGAACGAUCUGGAAAGAUCGGCCGUAGCGGGUGACAGCCCCGUAUGCGAAAGUGAGACAUCAGGACUCGAGUAGGGCGGGACACGUGUAAUCCUGUCUGAACAUGGGGGGACCACCCUCCAAGCCUAAAUACUCGUAUGCGACCGAUAGUGAACUAGUACCGUGAGGGAAAGGUGAAAAGCACCCCGAUGAGGGGAGUGAAACAGUACCUG
rnacentral:rRNA from 1 species